UAAAAAAAAAAAAAUACUCAACUCCCACUGAUGAUACAAACCCCCAUUUGAAAUGAUCCGAGUUAGAAUGCGCAGAUAACGGAGGAGCACGGGUGGGCCUGAUCGAUUUUUCUGAUUGGGCGAUAGCAUAGCGCCGGACCAUGGGCAACGGCGCUGUACUAAAUGUAGAAGAUUGGUAUGGAGAAGAUGACUUCCCAGCAACCCAAAACGGGAACACAUAUGUGGUCUUCAUCGAACAUUUCGAGUUAUGCAGAAGCUAGAGCAAGCACCCAUAAGAGAUUAAGGGCUUCAUCAUCGGAAAGGAUAUCAAUUGCUAAAGGAAAGGUUUAGAAACAGAGGACAUCAAUGGAGUACAAAUACUUUGAUUGCUCUUGUUUAGAUUUGUAUUCUUUUGUAAUUUAUUUAGUUUUAUGCUUUGUUAGGAUAUAUAAAGGUUAAUGUUCUUAAUUUUUUGUAUACAUUGGUAAUUUUUAUAUAAAGAAAUUAUACGCCAUUGUUAUU